ACUUUGACACACACUCAGGCUGGAAUCUGGAUCAUUUGGAUCAGCUUUCGGCUCCCAAACGACUCUUUCGGCUUCUAAACGACUCGUUGGCAUUUUUUUCUAAACCGGACAAAGUUUCCGAUAUUACGACAGUCACUCCAGACAAAUCAGAACACCACCAUAUUCUUCAUUCACCUCAGUUAUUCAACUGUCAAGAGGAGGCCUCAAUUCCAGCAUGACUUAAAUGAGCAGACCAGCCCUCUCCCUCUCCAUUGCAAUAUAGACUAUAGCAUUCCAUCUUUCUUAAAUAAAUAAAUACAGCUGA